GCGUGUGUAGGCGGUUUGUUAAGUCUGUUGUGAAAGCCCCGGGCUCAACCUGGGAAUGGCAAUGGAUACUGGCAAGCUAGAGUGUGAUAGAGGAUGGUGGAAUUCCCGGUGUAGCGGUGAAAUGCGUAGAGAUCGGGAGGAACAUCAGUGGCGAAGGCGGCCAUCUGGAUCAACACUGACGCUGAGACACGAAAGCGUGGGGAGCAAACAGGAUUAGAAACCCUNGUAGUC
rnacentral:rRNA from 1 species